rnacentral:rRNA from 1 species
UACGUAGGGUGCAAGCGUUUGUCCGGAAUUAUUGGGCGUAAAGAGCUCGUAGGCGGUCUGUCGCGUCUGCUGUGAAAACUCAGGGCUUAACCCUGAGCUUGCAGUGGGUACGGGCAGACUAGAGUGCGGUAGGGGGAGACUGGAAUUCCUGGUGUAGCGGUGAAAUGCGCAGAUAUCAGGAGGAACACCGGGUGGCGGAAAGGCGCCACUCUGGGCCGAAAACUGACGCUGAGGAGCGAAAAGCGUGGGUAGCAAACAGG